rnacentral:rRNA from 1 species
GCAGCCGCGGUAAUUCCAGCUCCAAUAGCGUAUAUUAAAGUUGUUGCAGUUAAAAAGCUCGUAGUUGGACCUUGGACCUGGACAGGCGGUCCGCCUCACGGCGAGUACUGUCUUGCUGGGUCUUUCCUCUUGGUGAUCUGUUGUUUCGGCAGCAGGGAACCAGGACCUUUACUUUGAAAAAAUUAGAGUGUUCAAAGCAGGCUCGACGCCGGAAUAUAUUAGCAUGGAAUAAUAAAAUAGGACGUGCGGUUCUAUUUUGUUGGUUUUUGGAAUCGCCGUAAUGAUUAAUAGGGACAGUCGGGGGCAUUAGUACUCACAUGCUAGAGGUGAAAUUCUUGGAUUUUGUGAAGACUAACUUCUGCGAAAGCAUUUGCCAAGGAUGU